rnacentral:rRNA from 1 species
AUCUUUAGGGGGCCUGAGAGGGUGAUCCCCCACACUGGUACUGAGACACGGACCAGACUCCUACGGGAGGCAGCAGUGAGGAAUAUUGGACAAUGGGUGAGAGCCUGAUCCAGCCAUCCCGCGUGAAGGACGACGGCCCUAUGGGUUGUAAACUUCUUUUGUAUAGGGAUAAACCUACUCUCGUGAGAGUAGCUGAAGGUACUAUACGAAUAAGCACCGGCUAACUCCGUGCCAGCAGCCGCGGUAAUACGGAGGGUGCAAGCGUUAUCCGGAUUUAUUGGGUUUAAAGGGUCCGUAGGCGGGCUUGUAAGUCAGUGGUGAAAUCUCAUAGCUUAACUAUGAAACUGCCAUUGAUACUGCAGGUCUUGAGUAAAGUAGAAGUGGCUGGAAUAAGUAGUGUAGCGGUGAAAUGCAUAGAUAUUACUUAGAACACCAAUUGCGAAGGCAGGUCACUAUGUUUUAACUGACGCUGAUGGACGAAAGCGUGGGGAGCGAA